UGCCAUUUCCCUUUCCUGCAAACAGAAGUCAUAACCUUAAAAUAAUUAGUUUGAUGAUGUUGCAACCACUAGUAGGGUAAAUGCAUAUCACAAGGGGAAAAGCUGAUAAGAUACAAGGCCUUCAUUAAGAUGCCAUUUUAUUACACUACAAGUAAUUAUAGUCCACAGGCCAGAUGAGUCCUGCAAUACUUAACUCAGAAAGUUUCUACUAAAAAUUCUGUGUGAAGAUGGAGAAUGUCACCUAGUUCUUUUCCUAAAUCACAAUGUUACUUGCUAUAAACUCAUGCAAUAAAGGAAUCUAGCAACCAACCAUCAUUACAGCAAUGUGUUACUCAAAUAUAACAUUUCAAAUAAACAAAUUAUAGAACUAUCAGUUUGUCUUCUCAUCCUUCUAAAGAAAUCUGAACCUGAACAACUCACCUGUUGUGUCCUAUCACCAUGAA
rnacentral:misc_RNA from 1 species